UACGAAGGUGGCAAGCGUUACUCGGAAUUACUAGGCGUAAAGGGCAGGUAGGUGGUUCGGCAAGUCUGUUGUGAAAUCCUCCCGGCUUAACUGGGAGCGGUCAACAGAAACUGCCGGGCUUGAGUAUAGGAGAGGGUACUGGAAUUCCCGGUGUAGCGGUGAAAUGCGCAGAGAUCGGGAGGAACACCAAUGGCGAAAGCAGGUACCUGGACUAUUACUGACACUCAGCUGCGAAAGCUAGGGGAGCAAACAGG
rnacentral:rRNA from 1 species